rnacentral:rRNA from 1 species
AAGCAGGUUAUAUAAGGGUGUAUGGUGGAUGCCUUGACACUAGAAGGCGAAGAAGGACGUGGUGUAACUGCGAUAAGCCUCGGGGAGGUGUGUAGCAACCUAAAAUCCGGGGAUGUCCGAAUGGGGAAACCCAAUAUAGUGAUAAACUAUAUUAUCCCGAUCUUAAAAAUCGGGAAGCGAACUCGGCGAAGUAAAACAUUUCAGUAGCCGGAGGAAAAGAGAAAAAAUUUAUUCCCCUAGUAGUGGCGAGCGAAAAGGGAAUAGCCCAAACCACGUAAAAAUUACGCAAGUAAUUUAACGUGGGGUAGUAAGAUGAUGAUGUCGGGAGUUUACCCGCCUUUGGCGGGCAGGUCCCGAGGAGUGGAUACAAAACUAAGGCUUCCUUAGUUGAAAGCGGCUGGAAAGCCCUACCAGAGAAGGUAAUAGUCCUGUAAGCAAAAAGGGUCUUAUACUCCUAGUCAUUAAUCUUGAGUACCUCGACGGCAUAAAGCGUCGUGGGAAUCAUCCUGAACUAUCUAGGAAAGGCUAAAUACUUCUAGUGAUCGAUAGUGAACUAGUACCGUGAGGGAAAGGUGAAAAGUAGCCCGGUGAGGGCGGUGAAAUAGUACCUGAAAUCAUACACUUACAAAGAGUCGGAGUCCCGCCUCGGCGGGAUGACGGCGUGCUUUUUGCAGAACGAGCCAACGAGUUUCCGCUUAUCCUUUGUCUAAGUUCGAAAAGAACGGAGGCAUAGCGAAAGCAAGUCUUAACAGGGCGAUUCUCCGGCCUUGCGGUUGGAGGAGGUUAGGCGGAAGACCCGAAGCCAAGCGAGCUACCCAUGGCCAGGAUGAACUCCGAUGAAAAUCGGGGGGAGGUCCGGACCCACCGGCCGUGCAAUACCGGGGGAUGAGCUGUGGGUCGUAGUGAAAAGCUAAUCGAGCUUGGUAAUAGCUGGUUCUCCUCGAAAUAUGUUUAGGCAUAGCCUUCCGUCAAAACUCUCGGAGGUAGAGCACUGGAUGAAUUGAGAUGGUUUUACCUACUCGUUCAACCAAACUCCGAAUGCCGAGAGGUGUGGGCGGAGGAGUAAGAACGUGGGGGCUAAGCUCCACGCUCAAAAGGGAAACAGCCCGGACCGUAAUCUAAGGUCCCCAAACUAAGUUAAGUGGAAAAAGAAGUGUUUUGUCUUAUACAGAUGGGAUGUUAGCUUAGAAGUAGCUAUCAUUUAAAGAGUGUGUAACAACUCACCAUUCUAUGUUUACUAUGACGAAGCGCGCUGAAAAUGUAACGGGGCUCAAACUUAGUACCGAAGAUACGGAUUUUUUCUGACUUUUGUCAGAAAGAGUGGUAGAGGAGCAUUUUUUGCGCAGCGAAGUUCUGUCGUGAGGCAGGAUGGAGCGCAAAGAAGAGAGAAUGUUGGCAUGAGUAACCGCAAAUCCGAUGAGAAAUCGGAUCACCGAAAGCCCAAGGAUUCCUUGGCAAUGGAAAUCAGCCAAGGGUUAGGCGGACCUAAGGCAAACCCGAAAGGGGUAGUCGAUGGCCAGUCGGUUAAUAUUCCGACCCCUCAUUCAUUUUUUGAUGAGAUGACGGAAUUUAGUAAUUUGAGCAUGUUAUGGAUUCGUGUUGUUGGCUUGAGAAUUUUUACCAGGCAAAUCCGGUAAUAUCACUUCAAGAGCUGACAAAAGCUUCGACCUCGGUCGGAGUGAUUCAAAUGAGCAGAUUCCCAAGAAAAAUCUCUAAAAUUAAAUUUGAGUGAGUCCGUACCGCAAACCGACACAGGUGGGCAAGGCGAGAAGCCUAAGGUGAACGGGUUAACCCUCGUUAAGGAACUCGGCAAAAUAACGGCCGUAAGUUCGCAAUAAGGCCUGCCCCGAUUUAUCGGGGCCGCAGUAAAAGAUCCCUAGCGACUGUUUACUAAAAACACAGGUCCCUGCUAACUCGCAAGAGGAUGUAUAGGGGCUGACACUUGACCAGUGCUGGAAGGUUAACGGUGGGGGUUGUUUCGAUUUAUCGGAACAGCUCACUGCCCGAAGCCCCAGUGAACGUCGGCGAUAACUAUAAUCGUCCUAAGGUACCGAAAUUCCUUGGCAUGUAAGUUAUGUCCUGCAGGAAAAGUGUAACGACUGGGGAACUGUCUCAACGAGGAGCCCGGUGAAAAUGCAAUGUCAGUGAAGAUGCUGACUACCUGCGACAAGACGAAAAGACCCCAGGAGCUUUACUAUAACUUAGUAUUGUUUUAAGGUUUUUGAUGCGUAGCGUAGACGGGAGGAUUUGAAGUUCCGCUCUCGGGCGGAAUGGAUCCGACAAUGAAACACCGUUCUUUAAAAACUUUAAAACUAACCCCUCAUCAUAGAGAGGAACAGUGCUAGGCGGGUAGUUUUAGUGGGGCGCUAGCCUCCUAAAGAGUAACGGAGGCGUUUAUCAAGGUCGACUAGCUCCGGAUGGAAAUCGGAGUGAUAGUGUAAAGGCAAAAGUCGGCUUUACUGCAAGACUGACAGGUCGCGCAGUUGCGAAAGCAGAACUUAGUGAACCGCUGGUUCUUUAUAGAAAGGCCAAAGAUCAUCGGACAAAAGCUACCCUGGGGAUAACAGGCUGGUAGGCGCUGAGCGUCCAUAGCGACGCGUCUGUUCGGCACCUCGAUGUCGGCUCAUCUCAUCCUGGAGGUGAAGAAGCUUCCAAGGGUUUGGCUGUUCGCCAAUUAAAGAGGUACGUGAGCUGGGUUUAAACCGUCGUGAGACAGGUUGGACUCCUAUCUGUCGUAGGCGUAGAUACUUGAGAGAACUUGGUGAUAGUACGAGAGGACCUCACUGAACAAACCUCUGGUGUAUCAGUUGUCCUGCCAAGGGCAUUGCUGAGUAGCUAUGUUUGGUCGAGAUAAACGCUGAAAGCAUCUAAGCGUGAAGCUCAUCUCGAGAUUAAGUAUCAUAGAUUCCUUGAAGACUACAAGGUUGAUAGGCUUCAGGUGUAAGUCCAGCAAUGGAUUUAGCCGAGAAGUACUAAUAAAUCAUUUGCCUGUUUAA